CAGCAGCCGCGGUAAAACGAAGGGGGCUAGCGUUGCUCGGAAUGACUGGGCGUAAAGGGCGCGCAGGCGGCGAUCAAAGUCAGGCGUGAAAUUCCUGGGCUCAACCUGGGGGCUGCGCUUGAUACUUGGUUGCUUGAGUGGGGAAGAGGGUCGUGGAAUUCCCAGUGUAGAGGUGAAAUUCGUAGAUAUUGGGAAGAACACCGGUGGCGAAGGCGGCGACCUGGUCCUUGACUGACGCUGAGGCGCGAAAGCGUGGGGAGCAAACAGGAUUAGAUACCCCAGUAGUCCCUGUCUCUUAUAA
rnacentral:rRNA from 1 species